rnacentral:rRNA from 1 species
GUGCCAGCCGCCGCGGUAAUACGUAGGGGCCGAGCGUUGUCCGGAGUUACUGGGCGUAAAGCGCGCGCAGGCGGCUCGUCAAGCCUGACGUGAAAGCCCCCGGCUCAACCGGGGAGGGUCGUCGGGGACUGGCGAGCUUGAGGUCGGCAGGGGCUGGUGGAAUUCCCGGUGUAGUGGUACAGUGCGUAGCGAUCGGGAGGCACACCCGGGGCGAAGGCGGCCAGCUGGGCCGGACCUGACGC